rnacentral:rRNA from 1 species
ACGGAGGGUGCAAGCGUUGCUCGGAAUCACUGGGCGUAAAGCGUACGCAGGCGGCUUGAUAAGUUGGGUGUGAAAGCCCGGGGCUCAACCCCGGAACUGCAUUCAAAACUGUCUAGCUUGAAUACGGGAGAGGGAAGCGGAAUUCCUGGUGUAGAGGUGAAAUUCGUAGAUAUCAGGAGGAACACCAGUGGCGAAAGCGGCUUCCUGGCCCGAUAUUGACGCUCAUGUACGAAAGCGUGGGGAGCAAACAGG